CACACAAAGUAUGGAUGGAAUACGCAUUCGAAUUCAUUGACUCAUCCUUUAUCUACUCCUUUUACAGUAUCAAUUUGAGAGCGAAGACCCGAUUCACUAUCAUUCCUUCCACUCCGAUUUCCUACAGCAAAGCCAUUCGUCUCCCGACCUAACUUCACGUUCUACAUACUAAAGCAUACACAAAACAGCAAGCACCGCAUUUCCUCGAAAAAGAUAGAGUGGUUGCAGACACCUACUCUGAGAAAUACGAUAAAUACCAACGAUUUAACGAGAACGAACCGUCCGAUUGAAGACGUCACACUAUGAUAUGUUUCCUAUUGAACACCAACAUAUUGCCUUCCUUUUAAAGAUUAGGAAAUUGAGUGUAUCUGCUCGAUAUGAUGAACGCAUACACCAUCGUGAGGCGUUUUGUCGCGCAAAAGCUGUUUUGUUAUCAGUGCUUGAUGUCUAAAGUCUGAUUUUUACGAGCUUUUGUGACGCGUCGAUGGUCGCAGCAUUUCUAAGGGCUCGAGAGGCCCUAUUGCUAGGAGUUGAGCUUCGCGUCGAUAUGUGGCCACUCAUAAUUGGCGGCACCAUGAAACAAUUGAUUUCUGCUCUUUCGAACUAUGCUUAGUCAACAGAAAGGGUUGCCAAAUAUCAAAAUAUCUUUGUUUGGGAAGUAUUGCGAGGUGCUUUUUGACCGAUACAUUGGGCCAAAUUUGGUGACGGUCAGGUGAAAAAAGCGGGAAUUAGCCCCUCUUCCAGACCAACCUACUUCUCAUGCGAAUGCUUCGUCUCUACGUCCCAGCUCCGAUCUAUGGAUACAGGAAACGGACCUCGAAAACAGAAUCGAGUCUGCAACAAUCCGCGGGACUUCCUUGAACUGUGUGAACUCGACAUCACGUGUCCGUUUUCUUCGUUCAAAUUUCGAGAGACCGAUGACUUGAUGGCAAACCCGAACAACCACCUCUCGACGACAACACUGAGCACGGGAGCGGUUGCGGAGUUAGAGAACCUUUCAAAACAGAUCAAAGAUGACGAACUAUCGAAUGUGUUAACAGCACGUCUACCAGGGAACCCGAGUGCUACACUAAAUGUAUGGAAUAAAAAAGGGCUCGCAGAUGAGAUCAUGCAGAUUUUACAGCAAUUACGCUAUUCUGAGAAAAAUAUGCCUAUUGUGUAUGAAUUGAAGGGUGUGAUAGGCUUCUACCAGGUCUCUGCAGGCAAACCAGCCGAGUUACUCCUCAUCGACGGUCAGAUCGAAAUUCCUCCCCACUCCGGCUACAACGCGACGAAGCUAGAAGUCCACAUAACAAUCCGAAUUACACAGGAAGUGGUUUUAAAGGGAAAUGGCCGUUUUGUUGCGAUUCCUGUCUUAUAGCUCCUUGAAAUCUCUUUGUUGAUUUACUCCAUCGACGGAAAGCCGAGAGGCACCCAGGGAACUUGACUC
rnacentral:lncRNA from 1 species